GCCCCUUUAGCUCAUGGUGGUUAGAGCAGCGGACUCAUAUCCGUUGGUGCCGUGUUCGACUCACGGAGGGGGUACCA
rnacentral:tRNA from 1 species